AGCCAGCCUCAGGGUCAGGAAAGGAGCCUAGCCUCUCCAGGAGCCAGCAGGGAGAUGGGGGGAUGUGGAUUGCUUGAGCCUAAGGAGGGGAAGAGGAGAAGGCACUGCGGAGAGGGGUCUCACGCUGUCUUGCAGCUCUCCUGGGGCUGAAGCUGCGUGCGGAUCAGCUGGCCCUGGUCUACAGCACGCUGGGGCUCUGCCUGUGCACCGUCCUCUGCUGCUUCCUGGUGACAGUGGCCUGCUUCCUCAAGAAGAGGAGGGGUCCCUGCUCCUGCCAGCCCCGCUCAAGGCCCUGUCAAAGUCCGGCCAAGUCUUCCCAGGAUCACGAGAUGAAAGCCGACAGCCCUGUGGGCACAUCACCUAAGCCAGUGGAGACCUGCAGCUUCUGCUUCCCCGAGCACAGCACGCCCACCCAGGAGAGCGCGGUCAUACCUGGGACCCUCAACCCUGUGGGUGAUGGAAGGUGGAGGCGACCUGUGAGGGUGCCCUGAUAGAUGGCAGCCUUGGCAUUGUGUGCGAACACACCCAAGAGAGGGUCCUAGGUGCCGGAACAGGGGCAAGGAGGAAGAGGAGGAGGGAAAGAGAUGGAGAGAGAGAGAGAGGAAAAAAAGAGAGAUGAAGAGAAAGAGGAGGCAGAGAGGAAGAGAGAGACAGAGCAGGAGGUCGUGGCACUCUGGGUCCCAGUUCCCAGUGCAGCUGUAGGUUGUCAUCACCUAACCACAUGUGCAAUAAAGUCCUUGUGCCUCCUGCUUACAGCCCCCGAGAGCCCCUCCUCCUGGAAAAUAAAACUUUUGGCGGCUGCCCUUCCUCACUGCAUUUUGGUUGUGUCUAAUGAACCGAGAUGUCCCGCCUAUCACCUUCCUCAGCUCAAGGCUCCACUGAACGCUGCCCCCUUGGUUUGGGAGGCUCUGUGGUGCCGCCAUCUCACCAGGCUCCUGAGGAAGCUUGUGACCUUGGGUUGAGCACUAAGCAGCCAGGUACCUACUGAGGCUCUGCUUUUCUCUUUCACUAAGAGAGAGAACGAGACCAAAGAAUGGUCUGCAGGGAGGGCGUCUGUGCAAAUCCCCAGGGAACCAGGGGCUUGAGCCCUCUUCAUUUUCUUACAGACACACAUUCACUUCCAUGCCUCCUUAGUGAGGGCAUGAUGCACAGUGUGUGUGUAUGUGCAGGUGUGUGCAUGCAUAUGUGUGUGUGCAUAUGUGUGUGUACAUGUGUGUGUGUUGUGGGGGUGUGCAGUGGACAGGAAGGAGAGGGCAGCUCCAGCUCAAAGCUGCAAGUCUCUCUGAAAGAAAGAUUCCCUGGACCACAGCAAGUGAGACUUUUCAUUUGCAUCCAUUUUUUUAUUAGCAUUUAAAGCUAUAUUUUGAGUAGCAUGCAAACCUUAAGUUACUUAACUAUUCUUAGAAGCAUUUACACAGUAAGAUAAUACAUGAUAAUGUACAUUGAAAUAUUCACCCUGCACCCCCAACAUUAUUUUGCAUACCUACAUCCCCCAAAGAAUCCCAUGGCAGGUGGGGUGGGCAGGGAAGUGUGGUCCACCUGGGACCCCUCAGUGGGGGCACUUGGUCAGUCCCCAAGGCUCUGUGUGGCCCUCCAGAGACUCUGCUUCCCACCGGCUCAGUCAGCACUACAGAGGGGGAAUGGGGGAGGUGGAGUAGGGGCAGGCAGGACAGUAGGGGGAGGACAGUCAGGCACCCCAUGUCCUGGUUUUUGCAGUGGCUGGGAGGCAGAUGACGGCUGAAGGCCGACUGCCCUGAGAACUGGUUGAGGCUUAAGGCGGGGGUGGUAGGGCCAUCCCCACUGCCUGCAGGGCCUUUGGUCACCCUUGUCCACCAAGGCUUCUCCCCAGCAGCACUGGGCACCCCAGUGAGAGAGUGGCCAAGGCAGAGGUGUGGAUGGAUCAGGGAGGGAGGUCUCAUUCGGCUCUGACAGGAAAAGGGUCAAAGAAGGGCCAGGGUGGCCAGAGGGAGGGUCACAGUCUCUGGGUCGGGCAGGAGGAGGGAAGAAGGGAACAGGCAGGGUCAGCGGCCAGGGCGCAGGCAGAGGCAGGUGCACGCUGGGAGGUCAGACCCUGCAAGGCCCAUGGGGAGUGUCAGCUGGGAUGGGCUCCAGGUGCGUCCUCAGGGCACUGGGCAGCUCUCAGGCCAGGCUCCCCAGACUCUGGUGGGUGAUGUGGUCACUCUCGAGGCACUGCUGUCAGUCAGGGCUCAGCCACCUCCCCGGGCAGCACCCAUCCCAUCUCAGGACUGGACUUUCUCAGCUCCCACAGAGGGUGCCGCCUCUUGCCCAGGAGGGGCAGCCCCAUUGUGCAGCCUGAGGCACCCCGCAGGUCCCAAGUGGCUCCCUCCAAGCCAGCCUAGAGCUCCCUCUUCUCCAGGGUCCUGGUGCCUCGCAGGUGUCAGCUCCACAAGGAGGCCCUUGCUUUCCUUGUCUGUGCCUUGUCCCGGGCUGAGACUUAGGGUGGAUAGGGUUGGGCUGGUCCUUCCCUGGGGCCCUCUCAGGGAGGGGGAUGGCUCUUGCCCUGGACAGGUCCUCAUCUCUGCCUGGGUUGCCCUACAGUGAGAUGGAGCUGCCCCUGUCAGUGCCCUGGAGGUGAAGCAAAGAUGGCAGGAAAUAAAACGCACUGACAAGUGGCUGAAGAUGCUUGGAGACUGGACAAAAUAUGGGAGCAGCAAGAAGCCCUGCCCUACGGGUCAUGAAGGAGAAGGGAAAGAGGUCAUCCAGGAUCACCCACCGCAUCAAGGUAGAUGUCAGCCACACCCCGCAGAACCACGUGAUGUUUAGCGAAUGAUUCGGAGUCAGGUAAGGCCUAUGGGGGCUGCAGGGGUACCAGGGAAGAUGGGGGCGAUCCAGAGGGAUGAGGGCUUCCCCAGGGCAGAGGCCAAUGGUCACCCAGGAAAAGUGACAGAGCUGCCAAGGGCUCUCCUGGCCCAGGCAGCAGCCAGCAUUAUGGACUGAGCACCUCCCGUGCUCUAAGCCCUGGGCCGGGCUGGGACAUGUGGGGACAGAACCCAGGUGGCUCCCAAGGAGAUGGGAGCCAGCAAAAAAAAAAAAAAAAA
rnacentral:lncRNA from 1 species